GAAAACCAUCACAUACAUCGCAGGAAGAAAAUAGAUAAAGUAAAUGAGCUCGAGAAAAUAUGAUAAAGUAUCACGUUAUUUCUCACGAGAUAAAUUAACCUGUCCUCACGCGACCUUUUUUAUGUCGAGGUAACUUAAUAAUUGCAAGUACGGCCAUUCUAGGCUUCCGUAGGAUACUUCAUUAAAUGCAGGCUUUAAAAAGUAAAAUCUUACUGACCCAGUUCUUUGUAAACGCGACUGCAGCUAAGGUAGUUAAACGAUGCCUUGUGAAAUAUCACUCAGUUAAAGACCAUCGCCACACAGUUUUCUCCAUAAUAAUUUCAGCACGUAGACGUGACAGCAGCUGUAGGACGGGAAAAACACAGGCGGUGCCCCUUUUAGAGGAAAUGAAAGUGAAAGUGGCUGCAGCCUCUCGUGCCCUCUAGUCUCAUGCCCGGGUGUACAACAUGCUUUUUGAGCAGCCACACCUCCACCUCAGCGCACAUCAGAGCAGCCUCAGAUGUGUCCAGAUUCAGUGAGCCACUCAGGAUUCCUGCAGCAGAUCACAUCCAUCAGCUCCUUACCAGAUCAUCUUCAGAUUUCCACCACCACCACUCUAGACUUCUUUGCUUUCUUAUUGCCAAAGACUUUUAUUUUAUCACUAAUAAAAGCUAAAAUCAUGUCAAUAAUAGUUAUAUUAUAAUUAAUAUUAUAAUUGGAAGUUGUCUAGAUGAAGCUUAGAAGAGCAUGCUUACUCAGCUAAACCCUCCAACCUAAAAAAAACAUACUGUAUGUUUGCAGGUUUAACCAGGUCGGUUGUGUGUCAUUCAGCAGCCUGCAACUAAUCAGGUAUAAUAACAGCCCACAACAAGGCGCAGUUAUCGUUAUGGCCACUUUUGCGGAAUCAGCAAAAAUAACGGACACUCAGAUCUUAUUUCUGGAGUCCCAUGUAGAGAGAAUGGGAGCUGUUGAGCCGCUGUUUGCGUAGAGACAUGAGGGGCAGGUUGGUAACUUGAUGUAAUGAAAUAGAAACAUGACUGGGUGUCAUUAAAAGCGAAUGCAACUGUUGAUGGUGUGACAGCAAACGGUAUCUAUAGGCUGUUAAUCUGUAAAUGAAGGAUGUUUCCCUGCUAAAACUGGAGUCACACAAAAACAAACACAGUAUCUGUGCAAAACAGAACUCAUGAUUUAACUAUCCUAAAACCAGGAAACAGGUGUAAUGUGUCUAUAAAUAAGUGUAAUGUGCACUUAAAGAACAGAUCACUAUGUACACUAUAAUUAUUUUUUGUGUCCUGGCUGUAGCAAGGAUUUAAGAAAUACUGAGGCCUCAGUAUUCAGAAUGGGGAUGGGGGUUUUUGCCUCUGUUUGGUUAAAAAUGACUAACCAGCACUCUUCCGGUUAUACUAUGUCGUCAGACUUACUCAAAUAUAAACACACUCAUCAUAAAAGUGUUCGGUGUGGAAGUGUUUCUAAAAAUGAAGACGUAUACUACAAACUCCGUCAUUAGCCGGAUCACAGCUCGUCCCUACCUCAUGUUCCUGGCAGUACUGUAUUUGUCUUGGAUGUGCCAGAAUAAACAUGAAGGCAGCUGUUGAUAUCAGCCAAUGUGUAUUCAAAAGACGUAAACUAACCUCAUCUAAGUGAAACAAUCCAAGAGAUUUCCCGCCACAUCCA